UGAUGAUGAAUAUCAUCAGUGCAUAUGCCCCACAGGUAGCUUGUGAGAUGAAAGAGAAAGAAGAUUUCUGGAGUGGGUCAGUUGAGGUGGUGGAGAGUGUGGUCAAGCAUGAAAGAGUUGUGAUAGGAACAGACUUCAAUGGGCAUGUUGGCGACAGGAACAGAGGUGAUGAGGAAGUAAUGGGUAGAGAUAGUAUCAAGGACAGGGAUGUGAAAGGGCAGAUGGUAGUUGAUUAUGCAAAAAGGAUGGAACUUUCUUU